GGAUUAAUACCCCAUAAUAUAUUUGAUAAGGCAUCUUAUUAAUAUUAAAGCUUCGGCACUUGAUGAUGGGUGUGCGGCUGAUUAGAUAGUUGGCGGGGUAACGGCCCACCAAGUCUACGAUCAGUAGCUGAUGUGAGAGCAUGAUCAGCCACACGGGCACUGAGACACGGGCCCGACUCCUACGGGAGGCAGCAGUAAGGAAUAUUGGACAAUGGACGAAAGUCUGAUCCAGCCAUGCCCGCGUGAAGGAUUAAGGUCCUCUGGAUUGUAAACUUCUUUUAUAUGGGACGAAAAAAGGGCAUUCUUGUUCACUUGACGGUACCAUAUGAAUAAGCACCGGCUAACUCCGUG
rnacentral:rRNA from 1 species